GAAGCAAACCCCCGCACCGCACCGCACCCAUCCAUUCCCCGGUUCCGUUCCGACCCCCUCGGCUGGAAGGCGCGAGAGCUUCCGGAAGCACCCACCGAAUCGGCGGCGCGCGAUCGGGGAGUGUCGCCGCUGCUGGGGUCGCGCUCGCCGGCGCCGGAGAUGGAGAUGGACGCGACGGAGAGGCUGCGGUGGCGCUUCUCGGACGGCGGCCUCACCGAUCUGCUCGACGCCCGCAGCCUCCACGGUUCCCCCGACAUUGGAAAGAGAAUGCAGUUCCAUUCUUCUCUAGUACAAAGGCUUGCUUUAGAAAAGGAGAUUGAGGGUCACGUAGGUUGCGUGAAUGCUAUUGCAUGGAACUCAAGUGGCUCACUUCUGAUAUCAGGAUCAGAUGACACUAGAGUCAACAUCUGGAAUUAUGCUAAUCAAGAGCUGUUGCAUGAAAUUGAUACUGGACAUUCAGCAAAUGUAUUUUGCACAAAAUUUGUACCGGAAACAUGUGAUGAAGUAGUAGUUUCAGGAGCAGGAGAUGCCGAGGUUCGUGUUUUCAAUUUGUCUCGUUUAAGUGGCAUAAGGCCUAGGGAGGUUUCCAUGGAGCCAGCUGCAGUUUACCAAUGUCACUCAAGGAGGGUCAAGAAACUAGCUGUCGAAGGUGGCAACCCUAAUGUAGUGUGGAGUGCAAGUGAGGAUGGUACUGUAAGACAGCAUGAUUUUAGGGAAUGCAGUUCCUGUCCUCGUGCAGGAUUGGUUAAUCAGGAAUGCCGUAACGUGCUUCUAGAUCUACGAUCUGGAGGAAAGAAGUCUUUAGCUGAUCCCCCCAGACAACCGCUGUCGUUUAAGUCUUGUGAUAUUAGCUCAGUUCGUCCCCAUCAGCUCCUUGUUGGUGGGAGUGAUGCGUUUGCCCGGCUGUACGAUAGGAGAAUGCUUCCACCAUUGAGCUCAUGUCAAACAAGAAGGAAGCCACCGCCUUGUAUAAAAAUGUUCUGUCCAUUGCACCUUGCUGAGAAUAGGAAGUCAAAUUUGCACCUUACCCAUGUUGCGUUCAGCCCGAAUGGGAAUGAGGUUCUUUUGAGUUACAGUGGUGAACAUGUAUAUCUAUUUGAUGUCGACCCAGACAAUACGAGUUCAGUGAGAUACACAGCAGAUGACGUACGCGAUCAGUUAUGUUUACUGCCUUUUCACAAGGAACCAAGAAAACAAAAGUCAAAACGAGACAAGUUUCCAGCUAAGAGAAAUUUGUGUAGGGUAGAUAUGUUGAAGAAACUUAUGCAAGUCGUGAUAAAAUCUCUGGAGACUGGCACAAACCUAAUGCAUGGCAUUGAAGCAUGCUGUGAAAUACUCGAGGCCAUGGAAUCUGAUAUUGAUGAUAGCACGAGGCAUGAUUGUUUGUGUACCCGCGCAGGAUUGUACCUAAAGCGGAGGUGGAAAAAUGAUGUUUACAUGGCUAUUCGGGAUUGCAAUGAAGCAAGGAGUAUUGACUUCGCAUCAUUCCAGGCACACUUGUUCAUGGCUGAUGCACUGCUACAGUUAGGAAGACUGAAGGAGGCAUGUGAAUAUGCAGAAGCUGCACAUAGUCUUGUUCUACCAAAUUCGGUGUCUGCGGAACAGGUGGAAAAUAUAAAGAAGCGACUUGCUGCUGCUGAACUUGAGAAAAAUAAAAAAGAUCAACAAGGAAAUACUAACACUGAUGCACGGCAUGGACGGUUACGGUCAUUGAGUGAUCUAUUGUUCAGAUCAGAUGUUAGUGGGUCAUCAUCACAGGAGGGCCGAGAAGAUUCAGAUUACAAUGAUGAGAUGGAGUUAGACUUUGAUACAUCAGUAUCAGGUGACGAAAGCCAUGAUAGUGAUCCAGCUGAGUCCACUUGUAAUGGCGAUUCUGCCUACGAGCCGGAUGUUGCCAUUGAUAUGAAACAAAGAUAUGUUGGGCACUGCAAUGUGGGGACAGAUAUAAAGCAAGCUAGCUUUCUUGGUGAACAAGGGGAAUUUAUUGCCAGCGGAAGUGAUGAUGGUAGAUGGUUCAUAUGGGAGAAAAGAACAGGAAGGCUUGUUAAAAUGCUUGCAGGGGAUGGAGCUGUUGUGAACUGUAUACAGUCUCAUCCCUAUGAUUGUGCUGUUGCAACGAGUGGAAUUGACAAUACAAUAAAGUUAUGGACACCGGAUGCAGAAGGUACUUCUAUGGUUGAUGGACCAGAAAUUGAUGUGUUAAGUGCCAUAGAGAACAACCAGAAGAAGUUAUGCCGCAACCGUGAAACUUUGUUGCCUUUUGAGUUUUUGGAACGAUUUGGGGCGCAUGAAUUUGCUGAAGGAAGCUUGCAUCCUUUAGAGUGUGCGCAGACUUGAUAUACUAUUGCUUGGGUUGCUGAGGAAAAGGGAGGACAUUUAAUCCAAGAUACAAGCAGCCAGUGUCUAGGUAAACAUGAGAUUGCAAGGUUGUGUUGCAAUCGUAGCCAGUGUUUUGCACACCUUGCUUAGAUAAUAUUGCAGGGGCGCUGGUAUUAAGUUGUUGCUUGAGAUGUGAAUAGACAGUAAAGGCUGUUUGUUGGUGCAUUCACUUGUACAGAUUGUAGAAAAGCGAAGUCUUGUAAUAAGUAAAUCAUCUGUACAUGCUUCCAUAAUAGAGCCGUCUGCUGUGACGUUUUUCUGGGGCGAAAGGUCGGCGACUUGGAUGCUACGUCGUCGGGCAAGUCUACUGGUAAAUGCAGGUGAGACCUCGGGUAGAGAAGCUGCAGUAGAGACAUACUGUAUGUUGCUUGGUGCCGACUUAUGGUUUUGGGUCCCCAUUUGGUCCAAAUGAAUGCUUACAUGAUCGUUUUUAGUUCAGUGUAAGUGCCGUGAUGCAGUAGAGACAUCACCAUCGAUAGUUCAGCCUACGUCGUAGGUUGACGGGCGAAGUGGGC
rnacentral:rRNA from 1 species